rnacentral:rRNA from 1 species
UACGUAGGUGGCAAGCGUUAUCCGGAUUUAUUGGGUUUAAAGGGUGCGUAGGCGGCUUUCUAAGUCAGGGGUGAAAUACAGCGGCUCAACCGUUGCAGUGCCUUUGAUACUGGAGAGCUUGAAUGUGUCCGAAGGCGGCGGAAUGGGACAAGUAGCGGUGAAAUGCAUAGAUAUGUCCCAGAACCCCGAUAGCGAAGGCAGCUGCCUAGGCCAUAAUUGACGCUGAUGCACGAAAGCGUGGGGAUCGAACAGG